rnacentral:lncRNA from 1 species
GUUCCAGUCUAGCCUUCUACCUGUCUGGCCCUGAGCAUCUCACUUUAUCUCAGUUUCUUUACAAUACUUCCUAGAGUUAUAAUAAGAAUUAGUUACUUAAGUAGUAUUUUCUGAGAACUAUUCUACAACUUCACUUUUUAAUGGCUUUAUGGUGACAAUUGAUUUUUGAGGUUUUCUGGGUUUUUUUUUUUUUUUUUUUCUUUUUUCUUUUGUAAGUCUGAGGAAGCUUUUAUGUCUGUUAAGAAACUUACUUACCAGGUGCUUGUUUCCAUUGAUUUUUCAAUUCACUAUAAUUGUUUCAAGACCUGGUUUUUCCUAAGCCUUUAAGGCCUAUGUAUAAAUUUCUUUUAUUCAUAAUUCCAACUUGCAAAUGUUAAAAACACAUUUUCUUUCUUCAGUGUUUAACUUCCUUUUUCAACAGAUAACCUCUUUUUAAACAUUAAAAUCCAAACAUAAACUUAGAUAAGCUUCCUUAAUUUUUAAACUACAUUUACACAUUUGUCUUAACCACUGCAAAUGCACAAUGAGCCUGGCAUACAAAUCUAGCAAGCAAACCAUUUUUGAGUUUUGAGUGGAGCCCGUGUCUCCACUCUGGGAAGCCAUCAGCAAGCUUCGGGUUAGGACUACUGAGGAGAUGCAUAUGUCAUGAGUUUCAAACUUGGACCUUUUCUAAUGGUCUUGAGUAUCUGUCACAUGCCCCUUUCCCAUUUUUUAAAAACCAUAACCUCUGAUAUAAAUUAUUAAGAUUCUACAUCUCCUUUUCAGAUCUAAGUUUAUUAUUUUAUUUUAUUUUUUAAAAUAUUUUAUUUAUUUAUGAGAGACACAGAAAGGCAGAGGGAGAAGCAGGCUCCAUGCAAGGAGCCCGACGUGGGACUCGAUCCCGGGACAGUGGGAUCACACCCUGAGCCAAAGGCCGGCACUAAACCGCUGAGCCACCCAGGGAUCUCCCCCAGAUCUAAGUUUAUAUUUAAUUAGAUACUGCAUCCUUCUUAGGUAAUAUUUAUAUAUUUGCCUCAUACUUUUAUAGUUACUAUAUAAAAACAUAGUACUUUAUAAUAUUAAAAUAAACAGAAUUCAUUUAACUAAUCCCCUCUUGUUGGAUAGUAGAUUAUUUUCAAUUUUCUCUUAUAAAUGACUGUUGAAAACAUACUUGUAGAAAUAUUUCGUGUACAUUCUUAUUUCCUUUGAAUAAACUCAAAAUAGAAUAACUGGGUGCCAUUAUACCAGUAUUAGUUACUGUAAUAUAUAGUCUUAUACCUACCAGUGUGAACCAUGGAAUCAUUUUGUCAAAUUACGUAAAAUCAUCCUGAGAUAAUUAAGGGGAAAUGACUAAUGUAGGAAUAUGGUAAUAUCAAACCCUUUACAAAAUUGAGGUGAUAGAAAUAGAACAAGUUAAUAAUGUGUUUUCUGGUAAUUUGACAAAAAGAUUCCAAAGUUCAUUUAGGGCAGAAAGAGAAGUAACAGUGGAAGACUUUCUACUACAUAUUGGCACGCGUAUCACAUGCUACUGGCAUUGAAAAAUGUGGCUCUGUUUAGGUACUUCUAUUCCCUUUAUUGAAUACUUUCUCCCCCACCAAAACCAAGUAAAUAUUGAUUUGUAUCAAAUGCCUUUUUUACUUCAUUCAAGAUAAUCAUAUCUUUUUUAUUUGUAUUUUUGUGUUUUAUUACAGACCUUUUCUAAUUUGAAACCUUCCUUGAAUUUCUAGAAUACAUCAUGCUUCGUCCGCCCAAAAAACUAACAGUGUCAGUGUAUCAAGAGUUUCAGAGUUUUGCACUUGCCUUUAAAGGAAAAUUAGUCUAUAGAGGUCUUUAACUUUUAAAAUAUUCUCUAGGUUAGCUUCUGGUAUUUUGCAAUGUAAGAGGACUUGGAAAGCUUUUCAUUUGCCUUGUGCUCUGGCAUAGUACCCAAAACAAAUGAACUAAUGGGAUUACUCUCCAUCCAGAGAAACUAUUGUGGCUUUUGUCACUUUCCCAGAUACUUACUGUAGGAAAAGAUCACCAUAGGAAUGAAGAUGUUGUAAUUAUCAUCUUGAUGGCAAUCACUGUUCCAAGAUUGGUUGACACAGGAUGAAUGUGCUCUGUAUAUUCAAUCUUCUUAAUGAAAUCCCAAGGAAAAUAUCAGUCCUGCUACUAAUGACAAUAAAUGGGCUUUGCACUCACAAAGUGCUCUCACUCCCAGGAGCACAAAGCUCUUCAUGAUUAAUUAUUUCAGUCAUCCUCACAGUUGUCCCAUGAGGUGGGUGGCUGAGUGCUUCCUCUUAGGGAAGAGAAAAAAAAAAAAAAAA